rnacentral:rRNA from 1 species
GAUGAACGCUGGCGGCGUGCCUAAUACAUGCAAGUCGAGCGAACGGACGAGAAGCUUGCUUCUCUGAUGUUAGCGGCGGACGGGUGAGUAACACGUGGAUAACCUACCUAUAAGACUGGGAUAACUUCGGGAAACCGGAGCUAAUACCGGAUAAUAUUUUGAACCGCAUGGUUCAAAAGUGAAAGACGGUCUUGCUGUCACUUAUAGAUGGAUCCGCGCUGCAUUAGCUAGUUGGUAAGGUAACGGCUUACCAAGGCAACGAUGCAUAGCCGACCUGAGAGGGUGAUCGGCCACACUGGAACUGAGACACGGUCCAGACUCCUACGGGAGGCAGCAGUAGGGAAUCUUCCGCAAUGGGCGAAAGCCUGACGGAGCAACGCCGCGUGAGUGAUGAAGGUCUUCGGAUCGUAAAACUCUGUUAUUAGGGAAGAACAUAUGUGUAAGUAACUGUGCACAUCUUGACGGUACCUAAUCAGAAAGCCACGGCUAACUACGUGCCAGCAGCCGCGGUAAUACGUAGGUGGCAAGCGUUAUCCGGAAUUAUUGGGCGUAAAGCGCGCGUAGGCGGUUUUUUGAGUCUGAUGUGAAAGCCCACGGCUCAACCGUGGAGGGUCAUUGGAAACUGGAAAACUUGAGUGCAGAAGAGGAAAGUGGAAUUCCAUGUGUAGCGGUGAAAUGCGCAGAGAUAUGGAGGAACACCAGUGGCGAAGGCGACUUUCUGGUCUGUAACUGACGCUGAUGUGCGAAAGCGUGGGGAUCAAACAGGAUUAGAUACCCUGGUAGUCCACGCCGUAAACGAUGAGUGCUAAGUGUUAGGGGGUUUCCGCCCCUUAGUGCUGCAGCUAACGCAUUAAGCACUCCGCCUGGGGAGUACGACCGCAAGGUUGAAACUCAAAGGAAUUGACGGGGACCCGCACAAGCGGUGGAGCAUGUGGUUUAAUUCGAAGCAACGCGAAGAACCUUACCAAAUCUUGACAUCCUUUGACAACUCUAGAGAUAGAGCUUUCCCCUUCGGGGGACAAAGUGACAGGUGGUGCAUGGUUGUUGUCAGCUCGUGUCGUGAGAUGUUGGGUUAAGUCCCGCAACGAGCGCAACCCUUAAGCUUAGUUGCCAUCAUUAAGUUGGGCACUCUAAGUUGACUGCCGGUGACAAACCGGAGGAAGGUGGGGAUGACGUCAAAUCAUCAUGCCCCUUAUGAUUUGGGCUACACACGUGCUACAAUGGACAAUACAAAGGGCAGCGAAACCGCGAGGUCAAGCAAAUCCCAUAAAGUUGUUCUCAGUUCGGAUUGUAGUCUGCAACUCGACUACAUGAAGCUGGAAUCGCUAGUAAUCGUAGAUCAGCAUGCUACGGUGAAUACGUUCCCGGGUCU